AUUUAUAUAGUUUAUUUAAAACAUUACAUUUUCACUGUAAAAAUAAAUCUUAUUUUAUAAAUA
rnacentral:tRNA from 1 species